GAUGAACGCUGACAGAAUGCUUAACACAUGCAAGCCGAUUCGAUUUACCUUCGGGUACUGAGGAUGGCGGACGGGUGAGUAACGCGUAAGGAACUUGCCUCUUGGUCUGGGACAACCGUUGGAAACGACAGCUAAUACCGGAUAUUAUGAGAUUCUCGCAUGGGAAACUUAUGAAAGCUAUAUGCGCCAAGAGAGAGCCUUGCGUUCCAUUAGCUAGUUGGUGGGGUAACGGCCCACCAAGGCGACGAUGGAUAGCCGGCCUGAGAGGGUGAACGGCCACAAGGGGACUGAGACACGGCCCUUACUCCUACGGGAGGCAGCAGUGGGGAAUAUUGGACAAUGGGCCACAAGCCUGAUCCAGCAAUUCUGUGUGCACGAUGAAGGUCUUCGGAUUGUAAAGUGCUUUCAGUUGGGAAGAAGAAAGUGACGGUACCAACAGAAGAAGCGACGGCUAAAUACGUGCCAGCAGCCGCGGUAAUACGUAUGUCGCAAGCGUUAUCCGGAUUUAUUGGGCGUAAAGCGCGUCUAGGCGGAAAAAUAAGUCUGAUGUUAAAAUGCGGGGCUCAACUCCGUAUUGCGUUGGAGACUGUUUUUCUAGAGUACUGGAGAGGUGGGCGGAACUACAAGUGUAGAGGUGAAAUUCGUAGAUAUUUGUAGGAAUGCCGAUGGAGAANUCAGCUCACUGG
rnacentral:rRNA from 1 species